GGAUUGCCUCAGUAACGGCGAGUGAAGCGGCAACGGCUCAAAUUUGAAAUCUGGCUCCUUCGGGGUCCGAGUUGUAAUUUGUAGAGGAUGCUUCGGGUGCGGCACCGGUCUAAGUCCCUUGGAACAGGGCGUCACAGAGGGUGAGGAUCCCGUAUGUGACCGGCGACCAAGCCCAUGUGAAGCUCCUUCGACGAGUCGAGUUGUUUGGGAAUGCAGCUCAAAAUGGGUGGUAAAUUUCAUCUAAAGCUAAAUACCGGCCAGAGACCGAUAGCGCACAAGUAGAGUGAUCGAAAGAUGAAAAGCACUUUGGAAAGAGAGUCAAAAAGUACGUGAAAUUGUUGAAAGGGAAGCGCUUGUAACCAGACCUGCCGUCGGGUGCUCCGCGGGCAUUCGUGCCCGUCUACUCUCCCGCGAUCAGGCCAGCAUCGGUUCUGGCGGCCGGAUAAAGACUCGAGGAAUGUAGCUUCGCUUCGGGGAAGUGUUAUAGCCUCCUGUGCAAUACGGCCAGCCGGGACCGAGGACCGCGCUUCGGCUAGGAUGCUGGCGUAAUGGUUGCAAGCGACCCGUCUUGAAACACGGACCAAGGAGUCUAACAUCUAUGCGAGUGUUUGGGUGUCAAACCCAUGCGCGGAAUGAAAGUGAACGGAGGUGGGAACCCUUCAGGGCGCACCAUCGACCGAUCCGGAAGUUUACGGAUGGAUUUGAGUAUGAGCAUAGCUGUUGGGACCCGAAAGGUAAGACUGAUCCCUACCAUCAUGCUCAGUGGACCUAUGCUAACGUAUCAACCAGAUGGUGAACUAUGCCUGAAUAGGGUGAAGCCAGAGGAAACUCUGGUGGAGGCUCGCAGCGGUUCUGACGUGCAAAUCGAUCGUCAAAUUUGGGUAUAGGGGCGAAAGACUAAUCGAACC
rnacentral:rRNA from 1 species